GAUGAAGAACGUAGCGAAAUGCGAUAAGUAAUGUGAAUUGCAGAAUUCAGUGAAUCAUCGAAUCUUUGAACGCACAUUGCGCCCGCCAGUAUUCUGGCGGGCAUGCCUGUCCGAGCGUCAUUUCAACCCUCGAACCCCUCCGGGGGGUCGGCGUUGGGGAUCGGCCCUGCCUCUUGGCGGUGGCCGUCUCCGAAAUACAGUGGCGGUCUCGCCGCAGCCUCUCCUGCGCAGUAGUUUGCACACUCGCAUCGGGAGCGCGGCGCGUCCACAGCCGUUAAACACCCAACUUCUGAAAUGUAGACCUCGGAUCAGGUAGGAAUACCCGCUGAACUUAAGCAUAUCAAUAAGCGGAGGA
rnacentral:misc_RNA from 1 species